rnacentral:rRNA from 1 species
AUGUUUCCAUUCAAGUUCAAGAGGAAGUAGUUUCUUCUCAGGCUUGGCUUUGCUAUGACGAUUAACAAGCCGCAAGGACAGACCAUCCAGAUUGCUAAUGUGUACCUACCUAAUCAUGUGUUCUCUCAUGGUCAACUCUAUGUCGCAUUGUCUCGAGCCACCGCGAAGAGAAACAUAAAGAUCCUCUUUGAGAAGGAGGAUAAAUCAAAUCAAAAGAAGAAAACAGAUGUGCAUCUUGCAUGCGAUUUGCGGCCAAGGAUUUGUAGAUCUGAGAAACAGAAACCGCCGCAAAAACCAAAAAAAGAAGAAGCUCGCUCUCAUCCUCGCCGGCCGGCCGGCUACCCCUGCAACGGCCCAGCUUCCGGCGACCGGCCUCAUCAUCACGGAUGCGGCGCCGACCCCGUGAAUCCGUGA